UGAUUAAAAAUAAAAACUGUCGAAGAGCAUGUCGGGCCAUGCUCAGAGUAGGGUUCCGUAGUUACCCUUCCGUCACAAUAAGCUAAACGGGAGUCUACGGUAUAGUAGAUUGUUAACCAAGGGUUGAAAGGCACCCAUUUCUGUCGAGGUAGCUUGGCGCUCGAACGCAGUGAGAGCGCCAAUAGUCCGAGACGGAAAUGGUGCCUUUCACCCGAGUUAAACACUCUACUUUUCAUAUCGAAUGCGAGGAAACCAAACAAGACAAGACAAUUUUGCAAAAUCAGUAAUUGAAGUACCUAAUAGACCUACAGCCAUGAUUUUUUCCUUAGGACUUACUUGCAAUCGGAGACUUUACAUGUGUGAAGAUUAAUAACCCCUAGCGAAUAUCAUUUAGAUUGCAAUAUUUACGAAAACACACAUUUUUUAACAAACUGCAGUAAUUUUAAAAUUAUUUGUUCAUUAUAGUAUGAAAAUCAGCGGGAUUGCCUCUUACUUUUCAAUUUUAUACUUUUUCGUUCUAAAAGCCGCAACAGACUACCGGACUGCACCGCGAGCUUGGUGCGCCGCACCAGGUAAUAAAAUAACAUAAUAACGGUAUUUUAAAUAUUAAAUAAUAAUUUAAUUAAUAAUAUAAGAAAUUUUUAUCUUGUAUUUUAUUUUAUUUUCAUGAAUAUAGUGCUAAAUAACUUUAAAAACCAAUUUAAUAUCGUACAAACGUUUAACUGUGGCUGUAUAAGAUUCUGCAUUUGCUCAUUUACGCAAGUGUAAGGUUUAAAAAAAUAUUUUUGGUGUAUUCCUUUUAGCACCCGCCUUAUGAAAUCGAGUAAAUAGAAUUCAACGAAAGAAAUCAAGAAUAAUUUGUUUUUAACAAUUUACUUACAUCAUUUUGUGAUAAAAAAAGGAUCAACGUGGGAUUAGUAAAAUUAAACAAUUACCAAUUGUACCAGGCGAGGAAAUAUAGACACUAUUUUUCCAUUUUGUUUCCACCCAGAGGAGUACACCACUUUUCUGCGCUAGAGCAUAAACGUAUCACUUUCUGCGCACCUUUUAGAACAACAACGACCCACUUUGAGAGCAUGAGAUAUGAAAAAUAUUUACACGUAUUGAUGUUUAUUAAUCAUAGAGCCUCUUUGUUUAACUUUUUUGAUCGUAAAAUAAAAUAAGAGUAGGUAAUUGUAAUUUUUUAGCGGUUUUCACACCUAUAUUAAAUUGUAUAAUAGUUAUUUGUACAACAAGAGAUCAAAGUUUGAUAUUUCUUCGAGUGCUUAUUUUGAGUCCCGUGCAAGCGAAUGAUUCUAUAAUCUCACUGCGCUCGUGAAUCUAAUUUAGAAUCUUGAGCGUAGUAAGGGACUCAAAAGCGCACGAGAUGUAAAUAACUUUGAUCUCGUGUAGUACACAACAUUUUUCACCUGAGCAGUGAGAACAUACCUAUUAGACAACUUGAAAAAUGUAAUCCUUCUUCAUCACUUAAUACCUGCACUCAUGUUUUCUUAAGAUAUACAAACAAUUAAGUUUAAUUACCGCAAUCGAACACAAAAACAAAACGUAAUAAUAAAUUUCAUAAAAUAAUAUGGAAAUAACGAACAUCAACUGACACUUCAAUUGACAACUUUUUAAUUGUAAAAAUACAAACGUUGUAAGAUACGGUCCGAAUUGCGGAUACGUACUAUUUGUCAACUAUGGUAGAAAUUCUUAAAAGUAAAAUAAUUAAUUUUGUGUGAUAAGUAAUCGGUGUAUUUUUUGAGUUCAUUAUUUUAAUUGUACAAUAAAAUACCAAAAAUAUAGUAUUUUAUCAGUAUUGAUCAAAUCUUAAACUUUUUUUUUAUUAAUUAAUUAUUAAGAAUUCAUACUUGUACGUGGUUUGGAACGAUGCGGUCUGAAGUUUUCGGGGGCCUAUUAUAAACACUCAAUAUACCGUUGAAUGUCGUUUUAACUUUUUUUUGUCUGUUUCUUUUUGCUAACAGUGUGAAAGGGACAGAUAUAAUAGAACCCAAGUAUUUCGAACUUGUAUUAGACCCCGCAUGUUGAAAUGACAUUUGACUAUAAAGGUCUCUUGAAUGUCAUUUUGUCUCACUCAGUGAGCAAAAUCGCAUUUUGCUCACUGUUUUUAAGAAGCAAAGUACCCUUGUUCGAGCUGCUGAGGUGAAAAAAUAUUUUCCAUUAUACCAAUGUCCAGAAAACACAAAAGGAGAGUACGUUUGCAGUUUGUACGGAGAAGGUAUCGUCCGAUUUCCUUUUAAGUGAGGAUGCAAUUUUUUGAGCACUAGGUUUUCGUAUUGAUCUAACUUGUGGCCUAUAAAUCUCCAAUAACAACGCCUUAUAUACUAUGUACCCUCUAAUUUUGAUACACUUACCUACUUUAUAAAAACGAUAUGCCAGCAAAUUAUAAGUUAUCAAAUAAGUAUUUUUAAUUAUUACCUAAAAUAUUGAAUUAAAAAAAAUUAAAAUGAAGUCAUCACUGACAAUUUAGGAAUACCCUUUAAUUUUAAAUUGUCACUUUAAAUAUUUAGCACAUCCCAUUAUUACGAUUAAUUUAAUCGGACACAAGUUUUCUCCCUUGGGAAGCUGUCAUUGGGUAAUCGGAUUAAAUUGGAAUAAGCCUUUUUGAUUAUUUUUUGUUAACCUUUUGAACGCCAAACGGCGCAUCCAUUUGCCGUGCCACUGACGCCACGGGGGUAAAAUUUAGUUUUGUGAAUAAAUAAUGACAACCUAAAAGUGGGGUGUUUUUCAGUAGAUUUUCAUCAAAAAACGAUCGACGGCAAAUGCCGUCUUUGGCGUCGUUGUCACGAUUUUACGUUGACGUCAAUUGCCGUCUGUGGCGUUCAAAAGGUUAAUGAUGCUUACUUUCCAAGCAGUUGCACAGAAUGAUAAUAAGUAUUUAUUUAUUAUGUAUGCUCAAUUGCUCGUAAAAAUAAAAACUUUACAUUUA